rnacentral:rRNA from 1 species
GACAGAGGGUGCAAACGUUGUUCGGAAUUACUGGGCGUAAAGCGCGUGUAGGCGGCCGCACGGGUCGGGUGUGAAAUCCCACGGCUCAACCGUGGAAGUGCACUCGAAACUAGGCGGCUGGAGUCCCGGAGAGGAAGGCGGAAUGCUCGGUGUAGAGGUGAAAUUCGUAGAUAUCGAGCAGAACACCGGUGGCGAAGGCGGCCUUCUGGACGGAAACUGACGCUGAGACGCGAAAGCGUGGGGAGCAAACAGGAUUAGAUACCCGAGUAGU